CCCUUAGAUGUUCUGGGCCGCACGCGCGCUACACUGAUUCAUGCAACAAGUUUUGUCCUUGGCUGAUAGGCCUGGGUAAUCUUUGAACGUGAAUCGUGAUGGGGAUAGAUGAUCGCAAUUAUUCAUCUUCAACGAGGAAUUCCUAGUAAACGCAAGUCAUCAGCUUGCAUUGAUUACGUCCCUGCCCUUUGUACACACCGCCCGUCGCACCUACCGAUUGAAUGGUCCGGUGAAAUCUUCGGAUCUGAGAGAUGUCUGAUUAAUUUCGGACGCCUUUUGGAAAAGUUGCUUAAACCUUACCAUUUAGAGGAAGGUGAAGUCGUAACA
rnacentral:rRNA from 1 species